UGGGGAAUAUUGCACAAUGGGCGCAAGCCUGAUGCAGCCAUGCCGCGUGUAUGAAGAAGGCCUUCGGGUUGUAAAGUACGUUCAGUCGGGAGGAAGGUGGUAAGGUUAAUAACCUUAUCAAUUGACGUUACCGACAGAAGAAGCACCGGCUAACUCCGUGCCAGCAGCCGCGGUAAUACGGUGGGUGCAAGCGUUAAUCGGAAUUACUGGGCGUAAAGCGCACGCAGGCGGUUGAUUGAGUCAGAUGUGAAAUCCCCGGGCUUAACCCGGGAAUUGCAUCUGAUACUGGUCAGCUAGAGUCUUGUAGAGGGGGGUAGAAUUCCAUGUGUAGCGGUGAAAUGCGUAGAGAUGUGGAGGAAUACCGGUGGCGAAGGCGGCCCCCUGGACAAAGACUGACGCUCAGGUGCGAAAGCGUGGGGAGCAAACAGG
rnacentral:rRNA from 1 species